rnacentral:rRNA from 1 species
GACGUAGGGUGCAAGCGUUGUCCGGAUUUAUUGGGCGUAAAGGGCGCGUAGGCGGCCUUCUAAGUCGAACGUGAAAUCCCCGGGCUCAACCCGGGAACUGCGUCCGAUACUGGAAGGCUUGAAUCCGGGAGAGGGAUGCGGAAUUCCAGGUGUAGCGGUGAAAUGCGUAGAUAUCUGGAGGAACACCGGUGGCGAAGGCGGCAUCCUGGACCGGCAUUGACGCUGAGGCGCGAAAGCCAGGGGAGCAAACGGG